UAAGCGGAGGAAAAGAAACCAACAGGGAUUGCCUCAGUAACGGCGAGUGAAGCGGCAAGAGCUCAACUUUGGAAUCGCUCCGGCGAGUUGUAGUCUGGAGGUGGCCACCACGAGGUGUUCUAGCAGCAGGCAAGUCCUUUGGAACAAGGCGCCAGCGAGGGUGACAGCCCCGUACCUGCUUUUGCUAGUGCUUCCUGUGGCCCACCGACGAGUCGAGUUGUUUGGGAAUGCAGCUCUAAGUGGGUGGUAAAUUCCAUCUAAGGCUAAAUAUUGGCGAGAGACCGAUAGCGAACAAGUACAGUGAUGGAAAGAUGAAAAGCACUUUGAAAAGAGAGUGAAACAGUACGUGAAAUUGUUGAAAGGGAAGGGCUUGCACCCAGACACGGUUUCGGCCGGGCCAGCAUCAAGUAGAACGGGGUUAAAAGACCUGGGGAAUGUAGCUACCUCUUGGUAGUGUUAUAGCCCUUGGGUGAUGACCCCUGUUUUGCUUGAGGACAGCGGUCUCUAGGAUGCUGGCGCAAUGGUUGCAAGCCACCCGUCUUGAA
rnacentral:rRNA from 1 species